rnacentral:rRNA from 1 species
CUACGGGUUGCUGCAGUAAGGAAUAUUGCGCAAUGGAGGCAACUCUGACGCAGCCAUGCCGCGUGCAGGAAGAAGGCCUUAUGGGUCGUAAACUGCUUUUAUUUAGGAAUAAACCCCCGAACGUGUUCGGGGCUGAAGGUACUAAACGAAUAAGCACCGGCUAACUCCGUGCCAGCAGCCGCGGUAAUACGGAGGGUGCAAGCGUUAUCCGGAUUUAUUGGGUUUAAAGGGUGCGCAGGCGGGCUAUUAAGUCAGUGGUGAAAUCCCGGGGCUCAACUCCGGAACUGCCAUUGAUACUGAUAGUCUUGAGUUUGGUUGAAGUGGGCGGAAUGUAGCAUGUAGCGGUGAAAUGCAUAGAUAUGCUACAGAACACCAAUCGCGAAGGCAGCUCACUAAGCCAAAACUAACGCUCAUGCACGAAAGCGUGGGGAUCAAACAGGAUUAGAUACCCCGGUAGUC